CUUUUUUCCAAUACUUUCUUAAAUCCUUUUAUGUUUUUCGCUCUCUUUCUCUAUCGCUUCAUAAACUCACAAGACCAGAGAAAGAAAAUGGAGAAACGGACACAAGAAACGAAGGAAAUGAGGAAUGAGACGAGUAUGUCUGCUGGGACGGCAUUCCUGAAACUCCCAUUUGAAAUCAAGUAGAAUAUCUUAUCGUGUCUACCUCUGAUGACUUUCUUGCGAUUCAGACAUUCCAUACACAAGGCAACCAUGGGGCUUCAAGAAUGGUCAGGCUUUAAUUGGGGAUCUCGGCACUGGUGGACCAGCUUUAUUUAACCCAGCGAAUGGUGAUGUUAGUUCUCUGCAUCUUCGAGGUAACAUCUUUCUGUUUUCAAAUUUGUUCCUAUGCUGAAAGCCUCGCAGUGUUCAUGGUUGAAGAAGGCAGAGAUGAUGUGUGCCAGAACUCGAUAAAGUAAUGAAUUACAGGUGGAGAUGCUGAUUUUCUUUUGCUGGGUUACUAGUUGAAGAUGAAUUUGAUCCUAAUGGUUUAUGGUAAUUAAAACUGAAGGAUUUUAACAGUGUUUCUUCCUGCAUGGCAAUGAGCUUCCUAGAAAUUAAAAGUUAAUUUCUUGCCUCAUAGAUAGAUCUGAUAUUGAACAUACGACUUUGAUUUUAGUUUUGUGUUUCUCUUAAAGUUUUUGCUUUGCUUCUUUCUGGUUGUCUUUGUAUUGUCCUCUGCACUUAGACUGGUGUGCUUCAGUAGUUUGAAAGAAACAGAUAAAAAUCAUGUCUUUCCAGGAGAUAUUUCUUGAA